CUGGCAUACAUUUAGCCACCCUCCAGGUUCUUACCUUUUCCUUGAGGGUGGUUUCCCUGGUCCAGUGGCAGGCUGAGGCAGAUGGGAGUUCUCUUCUUGAACUCCCCUCCUCCCUGCCUUCCUCCUCCCGCGCGGCUAUCUCCGGUGGGAGGAAGUGACGUCACUCCUCCCAGCCGGCUGCAGAACCGGAAGAGGGGCCCGGUCGCGCUGUUUAAGUGCCACAGCGCCCGACCGGGCCCCUCCUGACACAUGCUCCCCGGGUGGCCCUUAGUGCAUGGGCCACCCGGG